AUUGAACGCUGGCGGCAGGCCUAACACAUGCAAGUCGAGCGGAUGAAGGGAGCUUGCUCCUGGAUUCAGCGGCGGACGGGUGAGUAAUGCCUAGGAAUCUGCCUGGUAGUGGGGGAUAACGUCCGGAAACGGGCGCUAAUACCGCAUACGUCCUGAGGGAGAAAGUGGGGGAUCUUCGGACCUCACGCUAUCAGAUGAGCCUAGGUCGGAUUUGCUAGUUGGUGGGGUAAAGGCCUACCAAGGCGACGAUCCGUAACUGGUCUGAGAGGAUGAUCAGUCACACUGGAACUGGGACACGGUCCAGACUCCUACGGGAGGCAGCAGUGGGGAAUAUUGGACAAUGGGCGAAAGCCUUAUCCAGCCAUGCCGCGUGUGUGAAGAAGGUCUUCGGAUUGUAAAGCACUUUAAGUUGUGAGGAAGGGCAGUAAGUUAAUACCUUGCUGUUUUGACGUUACCAACAGAAUAAGCACCGGCUAACUUCGUG
rnacentral:rRNA from 1 species